AUUGAACGCUGGCGGCAGGCCUAACACAUGCAAGUCGAACGAGUGGCGGACGGGUGAGUAAUGUCUGGGAAACUGCCCGAUGGAGGGGGAUAACUACUGGAAACGGUAGCUAAUACCGCAUACCAUCGGAUGUGCCCAGAUGGGAUUAGGUAGUAGGUGGGGUAACGGCUCACCUAGGCGACGAUCCCUAGCGGGUCUGAGAGGGUGACCAGCCAAAAUGGAGCCGAAGCACGCUCCAGACUCCUACGGGGGGCAGCAGUGGGGAAUAUUGCACAAUGGGCGCAAGCCGGAUGACGCCAUGGCGCGUGUAUGAAGAAGGCCUUCGGGUUGUAAAGUACUUUCAGCGAGGAGGCGUUACUCGCAGAAGAAGCACCGGCUAACUCCGUGCCAGCAGCCGCGGUAAUAC
rnacentral:rRNA from 1 species